rnacentral:rRNA from 1 species
AAUCAACGCUGGCGGCGUGCCUAACACAUGCAAGUCGAACGCGAGAGGGGGCUUCGGCCCCGAUUGAGUGGCGAACGGGUGAGUAACACGUGGGUGACCUACCUUCGAGUGGGGGAUAACGUCCCGAAAGGGACGGCUAAUACCGCAUAACAUUCCGCUUUUGAACAAGUGGAAAUCAAAGCCGGGGAUCGUAAGACCUGGCGCUUGAAGAGGGGCCCGGCGUCCGAUUAGCUAGUUGGUGAGGUAACGGCUCACCAAGGCGACGAUCGUAGCCGGCCUGAGAGGGCGGACGGCCACACUGGGACUGAGACACGGCCCAGACUCCUACGGGAGGCAGCAGUGGGGAAUUGUUCGCAAUGGGCGCAAGCCUGACGACGCAACGCCGCGUGGAGGAUGAAGGUCUUCGGA